GGAUUCCCCCCCAGGAAGUGGGGAGAGCAAAUAACUGGAAACUUUUUGGGGCCCUGUUUUUUACCCCCCGAGGAGAAUUUAGCAUUCAGUAAGCGGAGGAAAAAGACACUAACCCAGGAUUCUCCCUAGUAACGGCGGAGUGAACGGGAGAUUACCCCCAGCGCCCGAAGCCUUAUCUGCCAUUUGUGGACCAGGGCCAAUGUGGCGUUUAGGCGCCAAGCCUGGGGAACGCUAUUUCUACUCGAAGUCCAGCUCCGAUUAUGGCUUGGAUUUGUUCCUAAGAGGGUGAAAGGCCCGUACGAGUAGAAGUUGUGUAUCUAUAGUGUUCCCUUAUGCUUGUGCUUUAGAGUCGGAUUGCUUGAGAAUGCAGUCCAAAGUGGGUGGUAAACUCCAUCCAAGGCUAAAUACUGGCACGAAUCCGAUAGUAGACAAGUACCGCGAGGGAAAGUUGAAAAGUACUCUGAAGAGAGAGUAAAUAGUACGUGAACCCGCCUGAAUGGAAGCUGGUGGAGUCAAGCUUCUUGUUGCGUGAAUUGGCCGGGGGUAAAUUUUGUUCUGGGAAUAUUGGAUCUAUUGUCUUGCAAAUAGACUGGCGGUUCGCCGCCUCUCCUGGGCUGGGCAGCUUAUGUUUAUACGGUCCAUAUUUCCUUACCUCUAUGCUAUUUCGCUUGACUAAUGUCACAGUCAAUGUGUCUUGUAACACUGGAUAGUUAAACCAUGUUCGGGCAGGCCUUGCGUUUGCCCAGCGUGGGAUGGCAGGUGGAUGCUUGAGCGUUUUGCUCGUAGUAUCGUAAAUUAUAAGCUAUCUCGCUUGCUGACUGUCUCGUUCUCUUGGUUAUCAGGCAUAUUGGUGCUAUGGCGACGGUGUCCCUUGGGUUGCCGCCGCAAGAACUGUGGUAUCGAAGUAGACUUU
rnacentral:rRNA from 1 species